CACCUGUUCCCAUUCCGAACACAGAAGUUAAGCUUACUUGUGCCGAAGAUAGUUAGCUGGAAACGGCUUGUGAAAAUAGGUAGUCGCCGACU
rnacentral:rRNA from 1 species